rnacentral:rRNA from 1 species
UCGCCUGUUUAUCAAAAACAUGUCCUCUUGAUAAUGAUUGGAGGUCUGACCUGCCCACUGAAUAAAGAUUUGAAGGGCCGCGGUAUUUUGACCGUGCAAAGGUAGCAUAAUCACUAGUCUUUUAAUUGAAGGCUGGAAUGAAUGGUUGGACGAGGUAUUGACUGUCUCAUAUAUAAAUGAGUUUAGAAUUUAACUUUUGAGUGAAAAGGCUUAAAUAAUUUUAAAGGACGAGAAGACCCUAUAGAUCUUUAUAUUAGUGAAUCUAGUAAUAAUUUAGUUGAUUAUUAUUAUUAAAUUUUUUAAUAUUUUAUUGGGGUGAUAGGAAGAUAAAACAAACUCUUUUUAAUUUGUUCACAAUGAUUUUUGAAUUUUUGAUCCGUUAUUUGCGACUAUAAGACUAAGUUACCUUAGGGAUAACAGCGUAAUCUUUUUUGAGAGUUCUUAUCGACAAAAAGGGUUGCGACCUCGAUGUUGGAUUAAGGUGAAAUUUGGGUGCAGAAGUUCAAAUUUUUAGGUCUGUUCGACCUUUAAAUCCUUACAUGAUCUGAGUUCAAACCGGAGA